rnacentral:rRNA from 1 species
CCCGCUGAACUUAAGCAUAUCAAUAAGCGGAGGAAAAGAAACCAACAGGGAUUACCCUAGUAACGGCGAGUGAAGCGGUAACAGCUCAAAUUUAAAAUCUGGCCUUCACGGGUCCGAGUUGUAAUUUGUAGAGGACGUUUCGGACAAGGCUGUGGUUUAAGUUUCUUGGAACAGAACGUCAUAGAGGGUGAGAAUCCCGUCUAGAACCAACGGCCGCGUCCAUGUGAAAUUCCUUCGACGAGUCGAGUUGUUUGGGAAUGCAGCUCAAAAUGGGUGGUAAAUUUCAUCUAAAGCUAAAUAUUGGCCAGAGACCGAUAGCGCACAAGUAGAGUGAUCGAAAGAUGAAAAGUACUUUGGAAAGAGAGUUAAACAGUAUGUGAAAUUGUUGAAAGGGAAGCGCUUGCAACCAGACUUGUAUAUAGUGGCUCCCCAUGUCUUCUGACUGGACUAUUCUACUAUAUCCAGGCCAGCAUCGAUUUAGGUGGCCAGUUAAAGGUCCUGGGAAUGUAUCUACCUUUGGGUCGACUUAUAGCUCAGGGUGUAAUGUGGCCUACUUGGAUCGAGGAACGCGCUUUUGCUCGGAUGUUGGUGUAAUGGUUGUAAGCGGCCCGUCUUGAAACACGG